rnacentral:ncRNA from 1 species
CACAUUAAAUCGGGGUGCUUAAGUAAAACAGCUGAGAAAAGAUACCCGUUGAACUUCGCGAGAUAAUACUCCCUGAAGGAAUUUGAUUAGAAAUGGG